UAGGAUUCCUUUAGUAGCUGCGAGCGAACAGGGAUUAGCCCAGCACCGAAUCCCGCGUCUAAUAUAAUGGACGUUAGGAAAUGUGGUGUUAGGGAGGAUACAUUAUCUCGAGAUUUAAUAACGAGUCCAAGUCCUUCUUGAACGAGGCCAUUGUCCAUAGAGGGUGCCAGGCCCGUAUUGACCGUUAAUUGUCUUGAGAGUAUCUCUCCUGAGAGUCGGGUUGCUUGAGAGUGCAGCCCUAAGUGGGUGGUAAACUCCAUCUAAGGCUAAAUAUUACCACGAGACCGAUAGCGAACAAGUACCGUGAGGGAAAGUUGAAAAGCACUUUGAAGAGAGAGUUCAAUAGUACGUGAAACCGUUUAGGGGUAAACCUGAGAAACCCGAAAGGUCGAAGGAAGAAAUUCAGUCGUGUAUCGCUAUUGGCGGGAUUGUAUAUUUGUUAGACGAUGAAUAAGUCUUAGUCGUCUUUAUUGAUGAUUAUUGAUUUGUUGGUCGCUACAUAUUUAUUCCGAUACCAAUGGUGAUGGCGUGCAUUUUUCUUCUGGUAGGACGUUGCGAUCCGUUGAGAUGUGUAUAUCGGUCUAAGACGAUUUGCGGAAGAGUUCAUUAAUACAUGUAUGGAUCACCGUAUAUGUUUAUUAUUAAUGAAUCCGUUUGUGAUCUGGCCGAUUUGCUCGACGGUAUUAUUAAUGGUUAAAGGUCGCUAUUUUAAUUAGCGUUAGAGGCAAGGCAAGUAUGUCAAUUUGUGUAAAAACAUUGUUAUUAUUAUUAUAAUGAUAAUGAUAAUGUUCUCGGUAAUCGGUAUUUAUUAUCAAUUCCGAGCCUUUGGCAUACUGUUGGUCGAGCAUAUCUCUUACACCGACCUUAUUAUUUUGAAUAAAACUAAUCGGCGACGCUAUAGCUUUGGGUACUUUCAGGACCCGUCUUGAAACACGGACCAAGGAGUCUAGCAUGUUCGCAAGCUAUUGGGAAACUAUUUUUAAACCUAUAGGCAUAAUGAAAGUAAAAUCAGUUCAUCUUGUAUGAAAUGGAAGGGAAGAUGAAUAAUAAUACAUUUUCGUAUUUUGCUAUAUGAAAUUAUUAUUCCGCAUUCCCGGGGCGUUUCAAUCUCAUUUUUUUAUUAAAUGAGAUGAUGCGCACCAAGAGCGUACACGCUGGGACCCGAAAGAUGGUGAACUAUGCCUGGUCAGGACGAAGUCAGGGGAAACCCUGAUGGAGGUCCGUAGCGAUUCUGACGUGCAAAUCGAUCGUCGGAACUGGGUAUAGGGGCGAAAGACUAAUCGAACCAUCUAGUAGCUGGUUCCCUCCGAAGUUUCCCUCAGGAUAGCUGGCGCUUGUUUUUCAACUUGUUGAAAUUUCAAUUUCAAUAAACAAGUUGUUUAACGAGUCUCAUCCGGUAAAGCGAAUGAUUAGAGGCAUUGGGGUCGAAACGACCUCAACCUAUUCUCAAACUUUAAAUGGGUGAGAUCUCCGGCUUGCUUAAAUUGUAUUAUUAUUAUAAUUUAUAAUGAUGAUAUAAUGAAGCUGCGAGAUUCGGAUCAGAG
rnacentral:rRNA from 1 species